UACGGAGGGUACAAGCGUUAUCCGGAUUCACUGGGUUUAAAGGGUGCGUAGGUGGGAAUGUAAGUCAGUGGUGAAAUCUCCGUGCUUAACACGGAAACUGCCAUUGAUACUAUGUUUCUUGAAUUUUCUGGAGGUUAGCGGAAUAUGUCAUGUAGCGGUGAAAUGCUUAGAUAUGACAUAGAACACCAAUUGCGAAGGCAGCUAACUACAGGGAUAUUGACACUGAGGCACGAAAAGCGUGGGGGAUCAAAACAGG
rnacentral:rRNA from 1 species